rnacentral:rRNA from 1 species
AUUGAACGCUGGCGGCAGGCCUAACACAUGCAAGUCGAACGGUAACAGGAAGAAGCUUGCUUCUUUGCUGACGAGUGGCGGACGGGUGAGUAAUGUCUGGGAAACUGCCUGAUGGAGGGGGAUAACUACUGGAAACGGUAGCUAAUACCGCAUAACGUCGCAAGACCAAAGAGGGGGACCUUCGGGCCUCUUGCCAUCGGAGGUGCCCAGAUGGGAUUAGCUAGUAGGUGGGGUAACGGCUCACCUAGGCGACGAUCCCUAGCUGGUCUGAGAGGAUGACCAGCCACACUGGAACUGAGACACGGUCCAGACUCCUACGGGAGGCAGCAGUGGGGAAUAUUGCACAAUGGGCGCAAGCCUGAUGCAGCCAUGCCGCGUGUAUGAAGAAGGCCUUCGGGUUGUAAAGUACUUUCAGCGGGGAGGAAGGGAGUAAAGUUAAUACCUUUGCUCAUUGACGUUACCCGCAGAAGAAGCACCGGCUAACUCCGUG